rnacentral:rRNA from 1 species
UACGGAAGGUAGCAGUGGGGAAUAUUGGACAAUGGGCGAAAGCCUGAUCCAGCCAUGCCGCAUGAGUGAAGAAGGCCUUCGGGUUGUAAAGCUCUUUUAGUGAGAAAGAUAAUGACGGUACUCACAGAAGAAGUCCUGGCUAACUCCGUGCCAGCAGCCGCGGUAAUACGGAGAGGGCUAGCGUUAUUCGGAAUUAUUGGGCGUAAAGAGCGCGUAGGCUGAUUAGUAAGUUAAAAGUGAAAUCCCAAAGCUUAACUUUGGAAUUGCUUUUUAAAACUGCUAGUCUAGAGAUUUGAAAGAGGAUAGAGGAAUUCCUAGUGUAGAGGUGAAAUUCGUAAAUAUUAGGAGGAACACCAGUGGCGAAGGCGUCUAUCUGGUUCAAAUCUGACGCUGAGGCGCGAAGGGCGUGGGGAGCAAACAGGGAUUAGAUACCCGU